rnacentral:lncRNA from 1 species
CUAGGACAAGGUACUUAUGGAAAAGUUCAAUUGGCGAUUAACAAGGAGACGGAACAAGAGGUAAGCCAUAUCAAUUUCACGUAUCGAUAUCAGGUGUAUAAUGUCUGUUUUCUAGUGUGUGUUAUCCUCUUAACACAGAGAACUAAACACCGGUUAGAGGUAUAAGCAAACAACAGGUGUAACACUAUUAUUACUGUAACAGCAUUAAUAUCGUGUUUAAACGACGACGACAGAAAAAUCAGUCGUAUGUAUAAAAAUAUAUGUUUAGCUGUAAACUGAUGUGGAUUUUUCUUAUCUGUUCUCGAAAUCGGAGAGUUAUCUUGGAAAAAUAUAAAAGUUGGAUUGGAAUCAAUAACAAAAAGGAGAUUGCUAUCUGUACUUCGAGAUCUUUAGCCCAGUUCAACUGUUUUUCUCAACCGAAAACUGUUGAGUUAUUUUUAACCCAUCACGAGAAAGUGUUCCCAAAACAACAUAAACUGGGUUGUAUAAUCCAUCACAUACUAGUGCAAGGAUCUGUACGGUUAUGUCACCUUUAAAAAACUUCCAAAAAGUCGUAUUUUUCUACCACAUGUCGUUCGCACACCGCAUCGAAUGAUAAAAAAAGAAAAAAACGUGUAUCUUAAUACGUGUGACGUCAAACCUACGUCAAUUUGUUUCGUACGUUCCGGUGUAAAAAUUCAAAAAAUAUAUUUAGCUGUUUAUAUUAUUUCUCUGGUAGUGUUACGUCAUAGAAAAUAUGAAUUUAUAUACUUAAGUUAUAUAUUGUUUUCCUCCCGAUUUGGCAAGAGUUUUAUCUCUAAAGCUAAAAACUCCGACUUUGCCAAGUUGGCUUGACUCCUUAGCCGAGACAAAAGGUGGUGUGUUUCUAUCGGCGUUUUCGUCAUCGAUGUAAAAAAGAAAUUUAAGAAAACAACACAACGAAUGAUGAAGGAACAUCGUAAAGGUCGUCAUUUAAAAAAAAAAAAAAAGACAACUCUCAAACUACUUCGUAAUGCACUCCCUUCUGGAGCCUCCCUUCACCCUUAAAAUCUGUUCUCAUCCAGGUGUGAAGACGUCACCCUCCUAAAGAAGGAAGCAGUUCCCGUGUUCGUUUCGGAGGAAAUUGUUAAAAUGCGUUUUUAACUUUAACACACGUUAUGCUCGGUGAUCGUAUUGCGACAAGGCUGAUUUCGCAUGUAAUGACUCAUCUGUUAGAGAUAAUACAAAAGAACAAGUAAUUUUCGGUUAAUUAGUCACAGCUGGCACCAGGUAUAUAGGAAGUGAUGUUGACCUUGCUUAACUGUCCAAGAAUACUUAUUCAUAAUUCUCAUCUUUUCUAUUGUUUACCGUAUAAUUAAGCGUGUUUACUUUAUGCACCAGUAAGAGUUUCUUUUUCUUAAAUUAUUUUAAAAAAUCAUCCUGAUGUUCAUUUAUACUGUUAAAAUAUAUAGAUAAUUAUAAAAAGUUCGAAACGUG